GCCUGGGUAGCUCAGUUGGUAGAGCAGCGGACUGAAAAUCCGCGUGUCGCUGGUUCGAUUCCGGCCCCAGGCACCA
rnacentral:tRNA from 1 species